UGCAGUAUAUAUAACACAUGCUAGUUGAAUGCUUUAAAGCAUAGCGCACAGGUGCGUACUACCAAGAAUUUGCCUUCUACUUCGUGCCAAUCCUAUUUGCAGGUGCUAAAGAAUUUUGGAGAAUGCGCUCUAGGCUUACUGCCGGUAGAAUAUAAGCUUGGUAUACGGGAUUAGGUAGUUGGCCACGGAAAGCGGGCCAAGCCGAUGAUCUCUAGCUGGCUUGAGAAAGUGACCAGCCACACUGGGACUGAGAUAAGGCCCAGGCAUUUUUGCCAGCAGUGGGGAAUAUUGGGCAAUGAACGAAAGUUUGACCCAGUAAUAUUGCGUAAACGAGGGCAGCGCAAAAGAUUAGGGUGUGAACUCUAGUCGGUUGUGAAGUUUAUUAUUCAAAUUUUGAUUGUGACAGUUUUUGAAAGGAAGUCCCGGCUAACCUCGUGCCAGCAGCCGCGGUAAUACGGGGGGGGCUAGCGUUAUUCGGAAUGAUUGGGCGUAAAGUGUUCGUAGGUUGCAUUUGAUAUUUUGAAAUAAAAACUAUACAGCACUAUAGUUAUUUUUAAGACAUACUUUUGCUUGA
rnacentral:rRNA from 1 species